UACAGGGGGGGCAAGCGUUGUUCGGAAUUACUGGGCGUAAAGGGCCAGUAGGCGGCCAACUAAGUCCGACGUGAAAUCCCCAGGCUUAACCUGGGAACUGCGUCGGAUACUGGAUGGCUUGAAUUCGGGAGAGGGAUGCAGAAUUCCAGGUGUAGCGGUGAAAUGCGUAGAUAUCUGGAGGAAUACCGGUGGCGAAGGCGGCAUCCUGGACCGAGAUUGACGCUGAACGGCGAAAGCUAGGGAGCAAACGGG
rnacentral:rRNA from 1 species